rnacentral:misc_RNA from 1 species
AAGUCGUAACAAGGUCUCCGUAGGUGAACCUGCGGAGGGAUCAUUAACACGUUUCCAUAACGUUUUAACUUCUAUCAACCAACCGCGUGAAUUAAUUGAAUCAAUCAUACCCCGACCUAGAACGAAAGAGAAUCUGUUUGACUGACACGGAGUGAUGAGUAUGUUUCUUUGCCCGUUAAACGGCAUAAAUAUACGGUGCUUUCAAACUAGUAGUGCAUGGACAUUACAAGAACUCUCUCUUUUAGGCUUUUAACUAAAACUGUUCCCUUCAUCACUGGAGCGAAAACACCCCUUUCACCCCUUUAUAACCACUUGACUGAUAUGUUUGUACUGUUUUACGACAGCUAUGAACUGAUAAUAAUCAAAUAUCUAAGCACAACUCUUAGCAACGGAUAUCUUGGUUCUC